UACGGAGGGUGCAAGCGUUAUCCGGAUUCACUGGGUUUAAAGGGUGCGUAGGCGGCUUGUUAAGUCAGUGGUGAAAGCUCGCAGCUUAACUGUGAAACUGCCAUUGAAACUGACAAGCUUGAGUACGAUUGAUGUGGGCGGAAUCCAACAUGUAGCGGUGAAAUGCUUAGAUAUGUUGUAGAACACCGAUUGCGAAGGCAGCUCACAAAAUCGCAACUGACGCUGAGGCACGAAAGCGUGGGGAGCAAACAGG
rnacentral:rRNA from 1 species